GUGAGAACUUAGGGCCAUGUCAGCUCGUGAAUCUCCAUUUGCUGUUUACUGUGCUGUUAUAAAUGGGUAACAACUAACCCGGUUUUCCUUAAGAACUGUCAUAAGCUCCCAAUCGUCCUUUCCCUGGGUUGUAAUUACAACCCCCAAACUGGUUUCCUUUCCCUGAUGUGCAUGUAUGCUCGUUCCAUUGCAGGGCUAUAAUCCAGCCUGAAUGAAGGUCAGUUAAAUACAGAAAACAUCCAGCUGCCCUCCAAGGGCUUCCCAAGUGUAUCCUGCAUGCACUCAGACCUGCAACCAUGGAAGUGGUGGUAGUUACAACUUCUGGCUGAACCUGAGAAGCAUCCAGUCUGCACCUAGGAGGACUGCCCAGUCUGGGCCCAUUGGUCAGCUCAUCUUCCUCAACUUCAUUAGCUGCAAGUUGUACUGGAGUGACAUACCAUUGCUGGUUAACACCCCAGGUCUGGCUAUGACCCCAUACUGACAGUUAAGUCUGGAGUUGGGAAAACCUUUACUGAAGGUGCAUUCAUGGGUAUGGUAGUUAGAAUAUGUUUGGCCCAGGGAGUGCCACUAUUAAGAGGUGUAACUUUGUUGGAAUAGGUGUGGCCUUGUUGGAGGAAGUGUGUCACUGUUCAGGGUGGACAAUGAGACCCUCCUCCUAACC
rnacentral:lncRNA from 1 species